GGGGACGUGGUAGAGCGGUUGAAUACAGCGAUCUGCAAAAUCGUACGCCGGUUGCUCGGCGCGUGGGUUCAAAUCCCACCGUCCCCG
rnacentral:tRNA from 1 species